UACGUAGGGGGCAAGCGUUGUCCGGAUUUAUUGGGCGUAACGAGCGUGUAGGCGGCCAUACAGGUCAGCUGUGAAAACUCGAGGCUCAACCUCGAGACGUCGGUUGAAACCGUAUGGCUAGAGUCCGGAAGAGGAGAGUGGAAUUCCCGGUGUAGCGGUGAAAUGCGCAGAUAUCGGGAAGAACACCCGUGGCGAAGGCGGCUCUCUGGGACGGUACUGACGCUGAGACGCGAAAGCGUGGGGAGCGAACAGG
rnacentral:rRNA from 1 species